rnacentral:rRNA from 1 species
CACGUAGGGGGCGAGCGUUGUCCGGAUUUAUUGGGCGUAAAGAGCUCUGUAGGCGGCUCAGUAAGUCGGGUGUGAAAACCUCCAGGCUCAACCUGGAGACGCCACCUGAUACUGCUGUGGCUGGAGUCCGGUAGGGGGAGCGUAGAAUUCCUGGUGUAGCGGUGAAAUGCGCAGAUAUCAGGAGGAAUACCGCGGCGAAGGCGGCGCCGUCGUGGGCCGGGUGACUGACGCUGAGGGAGCGAAAGCGUGGGUAGCAAACAGG